CGCAUCUGUGCAUGCAGCAUAUCAAUAAGCGGAGGAAAAGAAACUAACAAGGAUUCCCUUAGUAACGGCGAGUGAAGCGGGAAGAGCUCAAAUUUGAAAUCUUCAAGGUUUUACCUUGACGAAUUGUAGUUUAAAGAAGUGUUUUCUGUUGAAGUUUUGGUAAAAGUUCUUUGGAAUAGGACAUCAUAGAGGGUGAGAAUCCCGUAUUUGACCAUUAUUUUCAGCUGUGUGAUACACUUUCAAAGAGUCGGAUUGUUUGGGAAUGCAGUCCAAAAUGGGUGGUAAAUUUCAUCUAAAGCUAAUUAUUGGCGAGAGACCGAUAGCGAACAAGUACCGUGAGGGAAAGAUGAAAAGAACUUUGAAAAGAGAGUUAAACAGUACGUGAAAUUGUCAAAAGGGAAGCGUUUGACACCAGUGUUGUUUUCUCGAAAAUCAAUUAAAAAGAGUUAGAUUUUGUUGUGUAUUGACCUUAACAGCUUGCAUUUCAAUUUUCUUGCUUUUUUUAAUGCACUUUUCGUUUAACAAGUCAACAUCAGUUUCUUUUGUUGUAAAAAGGUCAUUGGAAGGUGGCUUUCUUUUCGGAGAAAGUGUUUAUAGCCUUUGACUCCUGCAAUCGGAGAGACUGAGGUCUGCAGCGUAGAUCCUUCGGGGUUAGAUACAUUUGUGCUAAGUUAUAGCUUUUUAUAGACAACUUGUUGACUAUGAUUAGUCUUGUAGCUUACUCGCUUAUGCUAUUUUACCUACGCUUAGGAUGUUGACACACGCGCGUGCUCG
rnacentral:rRNA from 1 species